rnacentral:rRNA from 1 species
CGACCAGACUCCUACGGGAGGCAGCAGUGGGGGAUAUUGCACAAUGGGGGGAACCCUGAUGCAGCGACGCCGCGUGGGUGAAGAAGUAUUUCGGUAUGUAAAGCCCUAUCGGCAGGGAAGAAAUUGGACGGUACCUGACUAAGAAGCCCUGGCUAACUACGUGCCAGCAGCCGCGGUAAUACGUAGGGGGCAAGCGUUAUCCGGAUUUACUGGGGGUAAAGGGAGCGUAGACGGCGAUGCAAGUCUGAAGUGAAAGGCGGGGGCCCAACCCCCGGACUGCUUUGGAAACUGUAUGGCUGGAGUGCAGGAGAGGUAAGUGGAAUUCCUAGUGUAGCGGUGAAAUGCGUAGAUAUUAGGAGGAACACCAGUGGCGAAGGCGGCUUACUGGACGGUAACUGACGUUGAGGCUCGAAAGCGUGGGGAGCAAACAGGAUUAGAUACCCUGGUAAAA